GCUGGGAUAGCUCAGUUGGCAGAGCAUGACAAUCUGAAUCUCAGGUCUGUGGGUUUGAGCCCCACGUUGGGCA